rnacentral:sRNA from 1 species
UUUACAUCUGUAGUUUAUAGGAUGAGCACCUCCGAAGGAGGUUUGAGCCGAGCGCAGCGAGACAACGUUGCUUUAGCAACGGCCCGCAGAGCGGCAUCGCAGAUGCAAGUCAUCCUCUCUCGCUGACCA